UACAUAGGGGGCAAGCGUUGUUCGGAAUUACUGGGCGUAAAGGGCGCGUAGGCGGCCCGCUAAGUCGAACGUGAAAUCCCCGAGCUCAACUCGGGAACUGCGUCCGAUACUGGCGGGCUUGAAUCCGGGAGAGGGAUGCGGAAUUCCAGGUGUAGCGGUGAAAUGCGUAGAUAUCUGGAGGAACACCGGUGGCGAAGGCGGCAUCCUGGACCGGCAUUGACGCUGAGGCGCGAAAGCUAGGGGAGCAAACGGG
rnacentral:rRNA from 1 species